UCAAGCAACGAAGUGCAUGUGGUGGAUGCCUUGGCGAUCACAGGCGAUGAAGGACGUGCAAGUCUGCGAAAAGCGUGGGGGAGUUGACAAUGGAACAUUGAUCCCACGAUGUCCGAAUGGGGAAACCCGGCCCUUCAUAGAGGGCUUUCGAUGCGCGUAGCGCAUCAAAAGCAAAAAAAGCGACAAUGGAACAUUCUGUGUCACGCGAGAAUGGAACUUGGCGAAUGGAACUUGGCUUUCGAUGCGCGUAGCGCAUCAAAAGCGAAAAAAGUGACAAUGGAACAUUCUGCGUCAAGUGACGAUGGAGUGAGAGAGUCUUCUAUGAAGGGUCAUCCCUGACUGAAUACAUAGGUCAGAGGAAGCGAACCCGGUGAACUGAAACAUCUAAGUAGCCGGAGGAAAAGAAAUCAACCGAGAUUCCCUGAGUAGUGGCGAGCGAAAGGGGAAGAGCCUGCAAGUGAUAGCGCAAACAUUAGGAGAGUGUUCUGGAAAGGACAGCCGUAGUGGGUGACAGCCCCGUAUCCGAAAAUGAUUGUGUGGUACUGAGCUUGCGAGAAGUAGGGCGGGACACGAGAAAUCCUGUCUGAAGAUGGGGGGACCAUCCUCCAAGGCUAAAUACUCGUGAUCGACCGAUAGUGAACUAGUACCGUGAGGGAAAGGCGAAAAGAACCCCGGGAGGGGAGUGAAAUAGAAUCUGAAACCGCAUGCAUACAAACAGUGGGAGCCCCUCCUCCAAGCGCCUUUGGCGCUUUGGGGAGGGGGGGCAGGGAUCGGGGAUCAGGAAUCAGGAAUCAGUGAAGUUAUGCGGCGCGAAGCGCCGCCAAACUAAAGCUGAUGCCUGAUACCUGACUUCUGAUACCUGCCCCUCCUCCAAAAACCAAGGGUUUUUGGAGGAGGGGUGACUGCGUACCUUUUGUAUAAUGGGUCAGCGACUUACGUUUUGUUGCGAGCUUAACCGAAUAGGGGAGGCGAAGCGAAAGCGAGUCUGAUAAGGGCGUUGAGUAGCAAGGCGUAGACCCGAAACCGGAUGAUCUAUCCAUGGCCAGGCUGAAGGUGCCGUAACAGGUACUGGAGGGCCGAACCCACUAAUGUUGAAAAAUUAGGGGAUGAGCUGUGGAUAGGGGUGAAAGGCUAAACAAAUCCGGAUAUAGCUGGUUCUCUCCGAAAGCUAUUUAGGUAGCGCGUCAUGUAUCACUUCCGGGGGUAAAGCACUGUUAUGGCUAGGGGGUCAUCGCGACUUACCAACCCAUGGCAAACUCUGAAUACCGGAAAGUGCGAGCAUGGCAGACAGACUGUGGGUGCUAACGUCCAUGGUCAAGAGGGAAACAACCCAGACCGCCAGCUAAGGUCCCAAAGACAUGGUUAAGUGGGAAACGAAGUGGGAAGGCCCAGACAGCUAGGAGGUUGGCUUAGAAGCAGCCAUCCUUUAAAGAAAGCGUAAUAGCUCACUAGUCGAGUCGUCCUGCGCGGAAGAUGUAACGGGGCUCAAACCAUGCACCGAAGCUGCGGAUUCAGGGAUCAGAGGUCAGGGAUCAGGUAUCGGAUGCCAGGGAUCAGGGAUCAAAACCUGAUGCCGGAAAUCAGGAGCAAGAAGUGAAUAUCAAGCGAUUUGAAGACCUGGAAGUGUUUCAGCGAGCCUAUAAGGUAUCGUUGGCGCUCCACAAGGUGACGCUAAAGAUGCCGCAGAUAGAGCAAUAUGGACUUGCCGAUCAAAUUCGGCGGGCGAGUAAGUCUGUCUGUGCGAAUCUUGCCGAAGGCUUUGGCAAACAAAGUCAAUCGAAGGCGGAGUUCAAACGUUACCUCCUGAUGGCAAUGGGAUCAGCCGACGAAAUGCGCGUCUGGCUGAGAUACUGUCUCGAUCUUGGAUACAUCGAAUCAGAGCAAUGGACAAUUUGGCGAAGCGAAUACGAGCAAAUCGCCAAAAUGCUACAGGGAUUACAGAAAGCGCUGAACCCGCGAAGCGGGGAAGGUGUUGAUCCCUGAUACCUGACCUCUGAUCCCUGAAUGGUAGGAGAGCGUUCUGUAGGCCGAUGAAGGUGGAUUGUCAAGUCUGCUGGAGGUAUCAGAAGUGCGAAUGCUGACAUGAGUAGCGAUAAAGCGGGUGAAAAGCCCGCUCGCCGAAAGCCCAAGGUUUCCUGCGCAACGUUCAUCGGCGCAGGGUGAGUCGGCCCCUAAGGCGAGGCAGAAAUGCGUAGUCGAUGGGAAACAGGUUAAUAUUCCUGUACUCGAAAUAAGUGCGAUGUGGGGACGGAGAAAGUUAGGUCAGCCGCCUGUUGGAAUAGGUGGUUUAAGCGUGUAGGCGUGCCCUGUAGGCAAAUCCGCAGGGCUAAGCUGAGGCGUGAUGACGAGGCGCUACGGCGCUGAAGUGACUGAUACUCAGCUUCCAGGAAAAGCCACUAAGCUUCAGCUUGUUUUGAACCGUACCGCAAACCGACACAGGUGGGCAGGAUGAGAAUUCCAAGGCGCUUGAGAGAACUCAGGAGAAGGAACUCGGCAAAUUAACACCGUAACUUCGGGAGAAGGUGUGCCCCGGUAGGUUGAAGUCCCUUGCGGAUGGAGGCCGAUGGGGUUGCAGUGAACUGGUGGCUGCGACUGUUUAUUAAAAACACAGCACUCUGCAAACACGAAAGUGGACGUAUAGGGUGUGACGCCUGCCCGGUGCCGGAAGGUUAAGUGAUGGGGUGCAAGCUCUUGAUCGAAGCCCCGGUAAACGGCGGCCGUAACUAUAACGGUCCUAAGGUAGCGAAAUUCCUUGUCGGGUAAGUUCCGACCUGCACGAAUGGCGUAACGAUGGCCACACUGUCUCCUCCUGAGACUCAGCGAAGUUGAAAUGUUUGUGAAGAUGCAAUCUCCCCGCGGCAAGACGGAAAGACCCCAUGAACCUUUACUGUAGCUUUUUU
rnacentral:rRNA from 1 species